rnacentral:tRNA from 1 species
GCCGUCGUAGCUCAGUUGGUAGAGCAGCGCCAUGGUAGGGCGCAGGUCGCCGGUUCGAUUUCGGCCGACGGCU